rnacentral:rRNA from 1 species
CCUACGGGAGGCAGCAGUGAGGAAUAUUGGUCAAUGGGCGCGAGCCUGAACCAGCCAAGUCGCGUGAGGGAAGACGGUCCUAUGGAUUGUAAACCUCUUUUGUCGGGGAGCAAAAGAGGCCACGCGUGGCUUUCCGAGAGUACCCGAAGAAAAAGCAUAGGCUAACUCCGUGCCAGCAGCCGCGGUAAUACGGGGGAUGCGAGCGUUAUCCGGAUUUAUUGGGGUUAAAGGGUGCGCAGGCGGAAGAUCAAGGCAGCGGUAAAAUUGAGAGGCUCAACCUCUUCGAGCCGUUGAAACUGGUUUACUUGAGUGAGUGAGAAGUAUGCGGAAUGCGUGGUGUAGCGGUGAAAUGCAUAGAUAUCACGCAGAACUCCGAUUGCGAAGGCAGCAUACCGGCGCUCAACUGACGCUCAUGCACGAAAGUGUGGGUAUCGAACAGGAGUAGAUACCCGAGUAGUC